rnacentral:rRNA from 1 species
AGUGAACGCUGGCGGUAGGCCUAACACAUGCAAGUCGAACGGCAGCACAGUAAGAGCUUGCUCUUACGGGUGGCGAGUGGCGGACGGGUGAGGAAUACAUCGGAAUCUACUUUUUCGUGGGGGAUAACGUAGGGAAACUUACGCUAAUACCGCAUACGACCUACGGGUGAAAGCAGGGGAUCUUCGGACCUUGCGCGAUUGAAUGAGCCGAUGUCGGAUUAGCUAGUUGGCGGGGUAAAGGCCCACCAAGGCGACGAUCCGUAGCUGGUCUGAGAGGAUGAUCAGCCACACUGGAACUGAGACACGGUCCAGACUCCUACGGGAGGCAGCAGUGGGGAAUAUUGGACAAUGGGCGCAAGCCUGAUCCAGCCAUACCGCGUGGGUGAAGAAGGCCUUCGGGUUGUAAAGCCCCGUUGUUGGGAAAGAAAAGCAGCAGGUUAAUACCCCGCUGUUCUGACGGUACCCAAAGAAUAAGCACCGGCUAACUUCGUG